GACGAUCUAGGAAUUUAUUUCUAAUUAUUACACGACAUCCUCCUGCACUUGGGAUAGCAUUAGUGCUACUCAUUUUUGAGUGAGUCACAUACAUACAUUGUGUGUGUAUAUAUAUAUUUAUGUAGCACACGCACACAUUUUAAGUACCUGGAAAAAGUAGAACUUUAUAAUUGGUCUUAUGGUAAUUUGGAUGAAAAUGAUUUGCUUGUCUAUGUAGUGUUUGAAAGGCUUAAGUUCUCCAUAAUAUCCGAAUUCAUUACCAUUUGCCCAAAUAUUGUUUAUAGAAAAGAGCAGAUUUCUUAUGCACUGAAAAAAUGAUAAGUGAAAUGAUAAGUUAAGGGCUUGGCUUGACCCUCUGUUCUUCAACUUCUGGGCAUAUCAUCAUGGCUUUCUCAUAUGCUAUCUUAUUGUCUUUUCUCCUAGUUUACACUAUAGUACUGUCGAUAUUAUGAUUAUUAUAUCACUUUCUUUUUCCUUGGGAAUGAAUAUAUAUAGGAUAUUACCAUAAAUAAAAUUGAUAUUCUCUGUAAUGCAUUCCUUUUUCAUGAUCUACAGGUGUUUAUGAGAAAGGGUAUAAUCUCAUCACUUCUCAUAAGUAAAAAGAUAAUAAUAAUAAUUUUAUAACUCAUACCUUUUUUUUAAGAGUAGUCUAUUCAACCUGAUAUGGAGGAGGGGAGUUAAUUAGAAGCAUCAGUUAUGUUAAGAAUUUAUUUGAAAUUAUAAGCUAGGUGAGUAAGUAAAGAAAUCAAUUCAGAUAUAUGGUUGAUUCUAUCACCAAAAAUGGCCACAUUUGGAUUGUGGAGAUCAUUAGUGAUUAAAUUUCAGUUGAGAUAGAUGUACUUCUUGGGAAAGAAGUUCUACUUGCUCUAGAGUUCAUUGGCUGCAGUUGCCUGUCAGAUUGCUUAUCUUGUUGUGGUGUUGAGAAUUCCUCAAUAAAUUUUAACAUCACUUAUAAAUUUGGCAGUUACUAAUUUGUUUGGUUGGAGUUCCAUUUAACAUCACAUUUUAACAGCUUCUUGAACAUCACAAUUGGUCAUUCUACUUACUUUCUUGAAAUGGUUUAAAAUUCUUCUGCACUGUUUGAGAUAGAUAACCUAUGGCAUCGAGCGCAUCAUCAUGUAUGGUUGAUGAUUUUUUCGAAUCACCAACCUGUUGGUGUGGAUUGAAAGCCUCAUUAAAGACCUCCAAAACUAACAAAAAUCCUGGAAGAAGGUUUUUCGCAUGCUCGAAGUACAACACGGGAGACGCAAAGUGCCAAUUCUUCUUAUAGGCAGAUAUAUUUCAAUUGGUAGAUGAAAAAAUUCGCGCAAGAGAGAAUGCAGUUCGAAAACGGGAGGAUUAUGUAUUGCUUCGUGAGUAUAAAGUUCAGGAAAAGGAAAAUAAACUACUUGAGAGAGAGGAUGUUCUUUACAAGCAAGAGGAGCAAAUUGUGAAGCAGGUUGUACAAAAUAGAUGUAUUCGCAUCUCUUUAUGUAUGUAUUGGGUGGUGUCAAUCGCUUAAAUAUUUGGUUGGCUUGGACCAUAAAUGUAAUUUGGUCGAAGUUAGACGGAAAUGGAUAGUUCGGAUUAGUCAUAUUUAAGCGUAUUUUUCUUUUUUGUUGGGAAGGGAGAUCUCAAGUUUUAGUAGUUUGUAAACUUUUGGUAUGUAAAAUGGAUAGGUUGCUAAAUGUUUAACAUGGCUAGAUGUUGAAUCGGUUGUAAACUUUUGAUAUGUAAAAUAGAUGGUUCAUGGAUGUUGAACAUGGCGUAGCCAUUCA